rnacentral:rRNA from 1 species
UACGUAGGGGGCAAGCGUUGUCCGGAAUCAUUGGGCGUAAAGAGCGUGUAGGCGGUCCGGUAAGUCGGCUGUGAAAGUCCAGGGCUCAACCCUGGGAUGCCGGUCGAUACUGCCGGACUAGAGUUCGGAAGAGGCGAGUGGAAUUCCCGGUGUAGCGGUGAAAUGCGCAGAUAUCGGGAGGAACACCUAUGGCGAAGGCAGCUCGCUGGGACGUUACUGACGCUGAGACGCGAAAGCGUGGGGAGCGAUCCGG